CUUCUCUGCCAGCUUCUUCAGCUCCCUCCUGUACUCCAUCAUCGUCUCCCUGCAAUUGUCAUCGAUUAAUCCGAUGAUGGUCGCGGAGAUUUAUACGAGUUUUUCCUUCCAUCCUUGAAGAGAUCGCGGAAAAAGGGUAGCUCGUCGUACUUACUUGAAGGAUGGAGGGUUGGAGGGCCAGGGCAGGUCGUCCUGGAGGGUGAAGACGUCCUCCCAGUCCAUGUCCUCGAUUUUCUUCAUUGCGAGGCCCUCGCCUUCCUGGUCUACCAGGCGGGCGAGAGCCUUCACUGCGGGGUUGGAUUC